GCCGGGCGUGGUGGUGCACGCCUGUAAUCCCAGCACUUGGGAGGCUGAGGCAGGAGGAUCGCUGUGAGUUUGAGACUAGCCUGGGCUACAUAGUGAGUUCUAGGUCAGUCUCAACUACAUAGUGAGACCCUGUCUCAA
rfam:Fukomys damarensis contig95110, whole genome shotgun sequence.